rnacentral:SRP_RNA from 1 species
GCUGGGCACGGUGGCGCAUGCCUGUAAUCCCAGCUACUUGGGAGGCUGAGGCAGGAGAAUUGCUUGAGCCUGGGAGGUGGUGGUUGUGGUGAGCUGAGAUAGUGCCACUGCACUCCAGCCUGGGUAACAGAGCGAGACCCAGUCUCAA